rnacentral:tRNA from 1 species
UGGUGUGAAGCUGUAGUUGGCAUUAGUUUUGCAAAGACUAAUUUAGAAAUAGUUGUGUUUCUCACAUCUU